UACAGAGGGUGCAAGCGUUGUUCGGAAUCAUUGGGCGUAAAGGGCGUGUAGGCGGUCUGUUAAGUCAUGUGUGAAAUCCCUCGGCUCAACCGGGGAACGACGCAUGAAACUGACAAGCUAGAGUACCAAAGAGGGGGGUGGAAUUCCCGGUGUAGCGGUGAAAUGCGCAGAUAUCGGGAAGAACACCCGUGGCGAAGGCGGCUCUCUGGAACGGUACUGACGCUGAGACGCGAAAGCGUGGGGAGCGAACAGG
rnacentral:rRNA from 1 species